rnacentral:ncRNA from 2 species
UGCGCACGUUCGGGGUAUCAGGGCACGCGGCCUGUCACUAAAACGCGUUCCUGAUUGAGAAACACCCGUGGAACCUGAUGCGGCUGAUACCGUCGGAGGGAAACGAAUAUGCAGCGGU